rnacentral:rRNA from 1 species
GACGUAGGGCGCGAGCGUUGUCCGGAUUUAUUGGGCGUAAAGAGCUCGUAGGCGGCUUGUCGCGUCGAAUGUGAAAACUUGGGGCUCAACUCCAAGCUUGCAUUCGAUACGGGCAGGCUAGAGUUCGGUAGGGGAGACUGGAAUUCCUGGUGUAGCGGUGAAAUGCGCAGAUAUCAGGAGGAACACCGGUGGCGAAGGCGGGUCUCUGGGCCGAUACUGACGCUGAGGAGCGAAAGCAUGGGGAGCGAACAGG